rnacentral:rRNA from 1 species
UACGUAGGGGGCUAGCGUUGUCCGGAAUCAUUGGGCGUAAAGAGCGUGUAGGCGGCCCGGUAAGUCCGCUGUGAAAGUCGGGGGCUCAACCCUCGAAUGCCGGUGGAUACUGUCGGGCUAGAGUGCGGAAGAGGCGAGUGGAAUUCCUGGUGUAGCGGUGAAAUGCGCAGAUAUCAGGAGGAACACCCGUAGCGAAGGCGGCACUCUGGGCCGGAACUGACGCUGAGGAGCGAAAGCGUGGGGAGCGAACAGG